rnacentral:rRNA from 1 species
AGUGACAGCUAACUGAAUCAUAUCUGUGUCAGAUGUGAUGUCGUAAGGGAAAAUGAUGAUAUUACCUUACUAAUAGUGUCGUCCAAAACUGGUGCCAGAAGACUCGGUAAGGCCAGAGACGCGAACGUUAAUCGUCUUAAACAGGCGUAAAGGGUUUGUAGGCUGCUUUGAAAGUACUAAUUUAAUAUAGCCUUAGUAAAUUAGUAUGAAUUAAAGCUAGAAUCAAAUUGAGGAUAUUUACUAAAUAAUGCUUGAAGGAGGGCUGAUAUCCAAAGAUUUCAAGUGGAGUACUCAUGGCGUAAGCUUUUAUCCAUUAAUGAUUGACGCUGAGAAACGAAGGUGAGGAUAGGAAAUAGGAUUAGAUACCCAGAUACCCCUCUCUGUAAACGAUGAAUGGUAGUUGUUAGUCUUAUAAGACUAGUGGCAAAGUUAACACGUUAACCAUUCCGCCUUGUGAGUACGACUGCAAAGUUGAAAACAAAAAAAUUAGUCGGUCUCGGAGCAAACGAAGUGAAGUAUGUUAUUUAUGAAAAAUUUCCCCCCCCAAAAGCCGUAC